GUUAAUGUAGCUUACUAUUAAAGCAAGGCACUGAAAAUGCCUAGACGGGCCCAAGCCCCAUAAACA
ensembl:Mt_tRNA